rnacentral:rRNA from 1 species
CCUACGGGAGGCUGCAGUAGGGAAUCUUUCACAAUGGGCGAAAGCCUGAUGGAGCAACGCCGCGUGCAGGAUGAAGGCCUUCGGGUUUUAAACUGCUUUUAUAAGCGAGAAAUAUGAUGGUAACUUAUGAAUAAGGAUCGUCUAACUACGUGCCAGCAGCCGCGGUCAUACGUAGGAUCCGAGCAUUAUCCGGAGUGACUGGGUGUAAAGGGUUGCGUAGGUGGCAUAAUAAGUAGCCGGUGAAAUUUGGUGGCUCAACCAUUCAUACUAUUAGCUAACUGUUAAGCUUGAGACCGUUAGGGGUAACUGGAAUGUCUAGUGUAGGAGUGAAAUCCGUAGAUAUUAGAAGGAACACCAAUAGCGUAGGCAGGUUACUGGGACGGUUCUGACACUAAGGCACGAAAGCGUAGGGAGCAAACGGGAUUAGAUACCCGAGUAGUC